rnacentral:pre_miRNA from 1 species
CAUGUACUCCCUUUGUUUGGAAUUACUCGUCUAAGAAAUGAAUGUAUCUAGAUGUAUUUUAGUUGUAGAUACAUCUAUUUUUAUGACAAGUAAUUCCGAACGGAGGGAGUAGAAA